UACGGAGGGUGCGAGCGUUGUCCGGAAUCACUGGGCGUAAAGGGCGCGUAGGCGGCGCGGGUAGUCGUCGGUGAAAGCUCAGGCUCAACCCUGAGUCGGCCGGUGAUACUCCCGUGCUCGAGCACUGUAGAGGCAGGUGGAAUUCCGGGUGUAGCGGUGGAAUGCGUAGAGAUCCGGAGGAACACCGAUGGCGAAGGCAGAUCUCUGGGCCGUAAC
rnacentral:rRNA from 1 species